rnacentral:rRNA from 1 species
CUACGGGUGGCUGCAGUGGGGAAUAUUGCACAAUGGGGGAAACCCUGAUGCAGCAACGCCGCGUGAGUGAUGAAGGCCUUCGGGUCGUAAAGCUCUGUCCUAAGGGAAGAAUUUUGACGGUACCUUAGGAGGAAGCCCCGGCUAACUACGUGCCAGCAGCCGCGGUAAUACGUAGGGGGCAAGCGUUAUCCGGAAUCAUGGGGCGUAAAGGGUGCGUAGGCGGUUAUGCAAGUUAGGGGUGAAAGGCUACGGCUCAACCGUAGUAAGCCUUUAAAACUGCAUAACUUGAGUGCAGGAGAGGAGAGUGGAAUUCCUAGUGUAGCGGUGAAAUGCGUAGAUAUUAGGAGGAACACCAGUGGCGAAGGCGACUCUCUGGACUGUAACUGACGCUGAGGCACGAAAGCGUGGGGAGCGAACAGGAUUAGAUACCCUGGUAGUC